rnacentral:rRNA from 1 species
UACGUAGGGGGCUAGCGUUGUCCGGAUUUAUUGGGCGUAAAGAGCGUGUAGGCGGCCAGGUAGGUCUGCUGUGAAAACUCGAGGCUCAACCUCGAGAUGUCGGCGGAAACCAUCUGGCUAGAGUCCGGAAGAGGAAAGUGGAAUUCCUGGUGUAGCGGUGAAAUGCGCAGAUAUCAGGAAGAACACCCGUGGCUAAGGCGGCUCUCUAGUACGGUACUGACGCUGAGACGCGAAAGCGUGGGGAGCGAACAGG